rnacentral:rRNA from 1 species
CUAAGUUUGAUGGCGACCGGCGCACGGGUGAGUAACACGUAUCCAACCUGCCGAUGACUCGGGGAUAGCCUUUCGAAAGAAAGAUUAAUACCCGAUGGCAUAGUUCUUCCGCAUGGUGGAACUAUUAAAGAAUUUCGGUCAUCGAUGGGGAUGCGUUCCAUUAGGUUGUUGGCGGGGUAACGGCCCACCAAGCCUUCGAUGGAUAGGGGUUCUGAGAGGAAGGUCCCCCCACAUUGGAACUGAGACACGGUCCAAACUCCUACGGGGAGGCAGCAUG